GAAAGAUACUUAACCGCAUCGCCGUCGCUUCGAGGCUUCGAGCUCUUCUCAGCUCUCGCCUUCUCGGUAACCGGCGGGCGUACAGCAAGGCAGCCGGCGCAAUGGAGGCGCUUUACCGGCGAGGGCGAGGGCGCUAGGUUGCCGACCUGUACAACGGUCUCCACGGCGAGAGCACGGGGCGCUUCCGAGGCCAAGCGGCGCAGCAUUGCAGCAAGCGGCAAAGGUUCGUGUCUCCCAGCGAGCAGCCUUGAUGUUAAUCCCCAUCUGCUCACUGUUCACCUGCUCGAAUCCCUCUUCGCGGAUUCACGGAUUGCAGGCUGA
rnacentral:lncRNA from 1 species